ACAGAGAGAGGGAGAGAGAGAGGGACAGAGGGAGAGAAAUGAUUGGAAGGAAUAAUAAAAAAGGUAAUCAAUGAGUAAGAGAGUCACUGAGGAGGUGUAAUAGUUAAAUGAUGGGUGAUAGUAAUAGCAGUAGUAGUAGUAUUGGUAGUAAGCAUAACAGGCGGUAGUAUAAUUUUCUAAAUUCGAUCGAUCUUCCUCUCUCUCUCUCUCUCUUUCCCUCUCUCCCUUUCUUUCUCUCCCU